GGUCAAUGACAUGACCUUCAUGUGGAGAAGGCAACCAUGGUGUGGCACAGUGGGUGAUGACGGGCUGCUCAUCAAGGACUGGGCAGAGAAGGAUGGAGUCUCAAAGGCGGUUUGCCUGCUUCUCUUCCAGACCCUGGCUCUGGGGAGUCCACUCGGACACUCUAACUAACGUGUCUCAGCCCAGAUUCCUAACACCUGCCAAGCUGUGUGGUCACCUGCCUGGGCCUCCAGGCGCUCGUCAAAUGGGAACUUGAAAGGCUUCGAGAUCUCCAGAUAAAUCAAGCAAGAUCUGAGGGCUGGACAUGACUCUCCUUAAUGUCUGUGGCGCCUUGAAAGCACCUUCUCAACGCGUCUGGGUCCACAUGACAACGGAGCAGCUUUGUGGAAUCUUAGGCUGCUUUCCUCCUCCAAAGGCCUCCAAGAACCAGGACUGGGGAUGGCUGUACCCUGCGAAUCUGCUCACAUGGCAGCCAGGAAGUCCGAGAAGGCCGUCCAUGGGCUGCUUCCGUUCCCAGAGCCACGUCUCCCACCGUGCUCCUGGCAGCCUGGCCUUGUGUGCUGCUGGCCCGCACAGCCUCCAGAGGAGGUCUGCCUUCCUGGCGCCUUUGAUUCUGGUAAGGCUCUCUGUUCAGCUGCUCUGACGGUGAUAACACAACAUCACUAAAAACAAAGGAAGCAUGCUUGUCUCUUGAAGCAGUCGCAUUCCGAAGGGAAGUUUCCAAGCUUCCGGGGGAGCCUUUGUUUCAUCGGUGGGCCUGGGUGACUCAGGUCUGUGAUGGCCCCCACCCAGCCUGGGGGAGCAGGCAGGGCUAGGAGGGAGAUGCCUGCCUCUCAACCUCAGCUCUGCUACCAAGCUACCCUGUCACUUGAUGCUCGUUUUUUUUCCAGAUGUAAGUGUUCCCACCUGUAAAAUCAGGGAGCUGGGCUGAAGCACAUUUCUCCUGUGAUCAUUUGUCUUUCGGGGCAGUGGUUGUCAAAGUUAGUGGGCAAGGGUUGGUCACCUGGGCCCAUCCCCAGAGCUUUGAUUCUGUUCUUCCAAGUAGGGCUUGAGAACCUUACAUUUAACAAGUUCCCAGGUCAGGCUGAUGGCGUUUGUCAGGAACAUACUUUGAGAACCAGCUCCAGGGCAAUAAUAUACAUUUAUGGAAAAGUGGACUUUUUCAUAUGGAUCCGAAGUUCAGGCCUGGUAUCCUUAAUUGAUUUUGGGCAGUUUCCUGUGGAUUUUACAUGUUAAAAUGUAAACUAUCAAGAGAGUGGCAUAAUGAGUUCUGUUAAUAUAUGUCUUUUCUUCACCUUUAUAAGUAGCCUGAAACUGAAUAUGGUAUUAACUAGACCCAUGAUUAAUGGGCUUUUCCAUAAGUUGGCCUGGGGCUAUGUCCUAACAAUGGGAAGAUAAGCAAUAGUUAUCCAAUCCUGAACACCCUAUGGCAAGUUUCUGACAUACAGUUUAAAAGUGUAGGUAAGAAUAAAUUGUAUUUUUUAAAUUCUAAGUUAUUGUCCUUAACUUUGUCAAAGCAAAUCGUGAUUAUAUCUAGAUUUUGAGUAUUUGAGGUAAUCUGGGUGCAUAUUCAGUGCUUAGUGUAAACUUUAUCUUAUUUGAUCUUUAUGCCAACCCAGUGAGGGAAAUUCUAUUAUUCUAGCCUAUUAGGAUCCUUGGUGAAGUACACUGAGGGUGCAGAGGAUCGAUCGCUUGUUCCAGCUCAAGCAGUUAAGAAGUGAUAAAGAUGUUAAUCCUAAAUUUGUCAGACUGUGGAUUCGUUUUCAAAGUGCGUCCCUGGCCAGAAGCAUCAGCAUCACUUGAAAAUUUGUUAGAAAAGCAAAUAUUCAAGCCUCACCCCAGCCCUUUGGAAUCAGAACUCUGGAGCCAGCAGUCUAUUCCAACAAGCCCUCCAGGUGAGGCUGACGUAUGCUGAAGUUUGAGAAUUGCUGUUCAGGAAAUCAAGCCUUUAACCACUGUACAACCCACUUUCUCAAACACACAUUCUGUGGGAAAUCAAAUCAUGAUUAGUCCUGGUGCUUAAUGAGCCAUUAAGUGUCUGUAUCCACGAGCAGAUUGAAAUUAAAGGCUGAGCCUCUCAUCCUGGGUAUGGGCUUCUGGAAUCCACCCAAAUAGGUCAAAACAAUGUUCUCUCCUUUGUGCCCUGCCAACCACACACAGACUUUCCUCAGAGCUGUUGGCACAAUUCCUUGGAUGGGUAUUUGCUUUCUGCUCUUUCUGCCUUUGCCAGUGUAGAUAAGAUCCACAUCCCCUUAGUCUAUUUUAAUUUAUAAAUAUUUUAGAACCAGUCUAUAACUUGGCUGUCAUACAGAGCGAGCAAUCUGAGAAGGGGGAAAAAGAGUGAUUAAAGAUAAAUCUUCAUUGUUGAAUUCUUCAGUGAAGGCAACUUGAUUAAUUGAUAAAACAAAUAAUAGCAAAAUGGAUACUGAAAAAAUAAAUUCAGGAGGCUGAUGCAGAAAUUAAUUUGGAACCCAGUUUCAAGAGACAAAUGUGAGGGAAAAUUAGAUGAGGAUGGUGAACUACACCUACUCUCAUUCUCAUCUCCAAUUCCAAAUCCUGAAAAGUUACAGAAAAGGUAUUUUAUAAAAUCAAUAUUAGAGCCAGAAAACGAACAAACAAAAAAUACAUUUCUAUAAUGGAUCAGAAACUAUGAGGAAUCCUUAAAAGACAGAAAGUGAAUGGGAUCAUUUUGCAGAAGGGAACUAUAAGCCAAAUUCACACAGAAAAGGACUUUUGCAAAAGGUGGAUGCAGCCCACCAGGUGUUUGAAGCCCCAAAGGUGGUGAAUCAGGAGCCAGAAGGGAAUCUGGGGAGACCGACAGGGUGAUUGGCUGGGCACAAAAGGAGCAGCCAGGGGUGCAGACCCUCCCCUCUCCCCACCCUGCUGCUUCUGUCAAUCAGGAGAGGGUGUGAGUUGAGUACCUGAGCCCAAGAGUCGGGGUAGUGACCUGAAUGUCUGGAAAUACCCAAGAGGCGCUGGGAAGCUCCUCACCCAGGAGAAUAAUGAGGAGUAAUGAGUGGAACCCUUGGCCUAUUGGUUCAUCCCAAGCCUCUGCUGCUGGGUCACAGCAACUAGUCCCAGCAUAGAGGAAUGCCAGAUUCAAAGAUGAGCGAUACCAAGAGUUACCAAGCAGCUGAGGAAGCCCAGGACCAGCAAGAGAGGAGCCAACAUCUGCAAACAAGAUGUGCGAGAUUCUGUGUUGGGAUAAUUCAAGUUCUCAGAGAGAGCCAAGACACUGUUGAUCCCCAUGAAACAAGCAUAGGCUGCUAUUAUAAAGAAAUGAUCACGAUUCUUUAAAAAAUGUAUGUAUGUAUGUAUACACAUAUACAUACACAAAGCUAUUAUUGUAAAAAAACUUACUAUAUACUCAAUAUGCUGCAUGGUCAAACAGACAUAAGUAAAGAAAAAUCAAGCUAAGAAAUUUUUCCUGAGCAUAAAACAAAGGAAGAGUUGGGUAUAAUAACUUAAAAGUUAAGAAAUGUGAAUAGAUGUCGAAGUUCUAAAAUUUAUUAGCAAAGUUCUAGAAGGUACAAAUGUGAGAAGUAUAGGAGAGGGAAUAUUAAAAAUAAAUACAAAAUUUUCCAAAGCUUAAGGGAAAAAGAUGAACACUUAGAAGAGUCCACUGAGUGCCAAGCUAUAAAGAAAAAGUAACUUAAAAAAAAUUUGUGAUAAAUUUGAUGACAUCAAAGUUGAAAGUUCUUAGAUGAUGAGACACUGUAAUCGUAGUUAAAAGACAAACCAUAGACUAGAAGAAAAUGUUAGCAAUUUAUAAAAUGUAUCAAUCUCCAGAAUAUAUAAAGUACUUUUCUGUCAUCAAUGAGAAAACAAAUAGUCAAAAACUAGGCAAAAGAUGAAAGCAGACAGUUCACAGGAAAGGGAAGGCAGAUUGACAACAAACAUGAAAAGCUAUGUAGCCUCCUCCAUGACCAAGGACAUGCAAGUUAAAACAGCAAGGAAACCGUUGGUUUGCUCAUCAUAUUUAUAAAAAUUGAAAAGGAAUGUGGGUAUUAUUGGUGAAAGUAUCAAUCGGCAAAUCCUCUUGAGGAACUUUUUGGCAUUAUCUGUUAAAUUUUAAAUGUACGUUUCUUAUCUUGACAUUUCUAAAUCUAAGUAGCCAUUUUAGAGAAACACUACACAUCCAUCAAGAUGUUCAUUGCCGUAUUGUUUAAGGU